UGUAAGCGUAUACCAAAGUUGUUGCAGUUAAAACGCUCGUAGUCGGAAUUUGGCAGUUCCGGAUGUGUGCACGUCGUGUGCGCACUUCGCGGGGAUUGCUUUUGUGGUCUUGCGUAGGAUGAGGCACUUUUAUUAGUGAACGUCCUCACGCAACCACUUUUUACUGUGAGAAAAUCAGAGUGCUCAAAGCAGGCAUUUGCCGUGAAUGUAUUAGCAUGGAAUAAUAGAAUAGAACUUGGUUCUAUUUUGUUGGUUUGUUGGGACUGAGUAAUGAUUAAGAGGGACAGUUGGGGGCAUUUGUAUUUCGGUGCUAGAGGUGAAAUUCUUAGAUUACCGAAAGACAAACUGCUGCGAAAGCGUCUGCCAAGGAUGUUUUCAUUGA
rnacentral:rRNA from 1 species